rnacentral:rRNA from 1 species
GGCAGACGGGUGAGUAACACGUGGGAACGUGCCCUUUGGUUCGGAACAACUCCGGGAAACUGGAGCUAAUACCGGAUAAGCCCUUCGGGGGAAAGAUUUAUCGCCAAAGGAUCGGCCCGCGUCUGAUUAGCUUGUUGGUGAGGUAAUGGCUCACCAAGGCGACGAUCAGUAGCUGGUCUGAGAGGAUGAUCAGCCACACUGGGACUGAGACACGGCCCAGACUCCUACGGGAGGCAGCAGUGGGGAAUAUUGGACAAUGGGCGCAAGCCUGAUCCAGCCAUGCCGCGUGAGUGAUGAAGGCCCUAGGGUUGUAAAGCUCUUUCUGGCGAGGACGAUAAUGACGGUACCCGCAGAAGAAGCCCCGGCUAACUUCGUGCCAGCCGACGCGG